GGAUUCCCCUAGUAACUGCGAGUGAAGCGGGAAAAGCUCAAAUUUAAAAUCCGGUAGUCUUUGGCUGCCCGAGUUGUAAUCUAGAGAAGCAUUAUCCGCGCUGGACCGUGUACAAGUGUCCUGGAAUGGACCAUCAUAGAGGGUGAGAAUCCCGUCUUUGACACGGACUCCCCAGGGCUUUUGUGAUGUGCUCUCAAAGAGUCGGGUUGUUUGGGAAUGCAGCUCUAAAUGGGUGGUAAAUUCCAUCUAAAGCUAAAUAUUGGCGAGAGACCGAUAGCGAACAAGUACCGUGAGGGAAAGAUGAAAAGAACUUUGGAAAGAGAGUUAAACAGUACGUGAAAUUGCUGAAAGGGAAACGCUUGAAGUCAGUCGCGUUGGCUUGGGGGAUCAACCUUGCUUUUUUGUUGCUUGGCUUACUUCCCAGUUGACGGGUCAGCAUCAGUUUUGACCAGUAGAUAAAGGUCAGGGGAAUGUGGCACCUUCGGGUGUGUUCUUUAUAGCCCUUGGUCAU
rnacentral:rRNA from 1 species